UUUGGACCGCAUCACUCGAGGCUAACCCUGCCCGAUCCACGUCCUUUCCUCGGGGAGGAAAGCCACGACCCGAGAGGUCGGGGAGGAAAUCCAUGGCUCGACAGAGGCGAGCGAACUCCAGCGUCAUUGAGCAAGAUCCAGGGCCCCCGACCGCCUCCGAGCUCCUCCGCCGGCGACAGAAGUGACUCUCCCGACCCUCUCCCUCCGGUGUUAAGGAUCCAACUCCGCCCCUCCAGCGACGGCGACGGACCACGGUCGUCACCGUUCUCCUUCCCCGGAUCCAACCUCCGCCUCGAAGCUCCAGUCCCCUUCGGCGACGGCGAUGGCGACGGCGUCAGUUCCGCGGACGUAUUCUAUCUCAUCUGAUCAAGGGCUUUCAACUCACUAUAGCAUCUUGACGUUGUUGUCUUUAUCGGUCAUUGAGAAGAAAAAGAAAGUUCAAUCAACAUGAAGCUGUUGGUACCUGAUGUUGAUGCGGAGUGGAGAAAAGACCUGAGUAGGGCUAGUGAUCUGCGCCUUGCAGUUCAUCUUGUUCGAAAGUAUCUCUGCCUCGGACAUGGCAAUUGAUAAUUCAAUACAUUUUGUCGUGCACAAACUUGAACGAUGAUGGCACAUGAAAAUAGUUUAGGCCAACACACGAUCGCAAUGAAAUAUGGCCCGGCUGAUAUUUGAACCUUGGUGAAUUGAUGGUUAUCAGUUGUAAUAUUUCUUAAAAUUCCAGUUUAUAGGAAUUUUGAAAUUUUGUAUUUUUUUGAAUUAUUUGUGGAUCAGAGCCCUUGGAUCUUAAUUGCUACAAUACAUUAUCAGGUGAUCUUA